rnacentral:rRNA from 1 species
UACGUAGGGUGCGAGCGUUGUCCGGAAUUAUUGGGCGUAAAGGGCUCGUAGGCGGUUUGUCGCGUCGGGAGUGAAAACCUCGGGCUUAACUCGGGGCUUGCUUUCGAUACGGGCAGACUGGAGGUAUGCAGGGGAGAACGGAAUUCCUGGUGUAGCGGUGAAAUGCGCAGAUAUCAGGAGGAACACCGGUGGCGAAGGCGGUUCUCUGGGCAUGACCUGACGCUGAGGAGCGAAAGCAUGGGGAGCGAACAGG